rnacentral:misc_RNA from 1 species
UUUACAGAUAUCAUUGAUAAGUUCGAACCAGGAAGGCCUUUGGAUGGUACUAACAGAUACUCUUCAGCAGCUUCUUUAGAUGUUUGGUAAACACAAUUGAAAUAUGAGCAUGCAGCUUGUUUCCGAAGAUUUGAGGUAGUCGGAUCAAAAUAUGCUGGUGCACAAACCACUCCUAAAUCUAAACAUACUGAAGAUGACCUCCAAAGGAGUUCCCAAAUGACAUAAAUAUUUUUGCUCGUUUGACAUGUUCUGGCAACACCCAGCAUGUUAUCUAACACCUUCAAAAAGCAGCUGUUGAUAAUUGAGCAUGGACAUCGCUCAGGACUCCCAAUCCAUGAG